AUUGAACGCUGGCGGCAGGCCUAACACAUGCAAGUCGAACGGUAACAGGAAGCAGCUUGCUGCUUUGCUGACGAGUGGCGGACGGGUGAGUAAUGUCUGGGAAACUGCCUGAUGGAGGGGGAUAACUACUGGAAACGGUAGCUAAUACCGCAUAACGUCGCAAGACCAAAGAGGGGGACCUUAGGGCCUCUUGCCAUCGGAUGUGCCCAGAUGGGAUUAGCUAGUAGGUGGGGUAACGGCUCACCUAGGCGACGAUCCCUAGCUGGUCUGAGAGGAUGACCAGCCACACUGGAACUGAGACACGGUCCAGACUCCUACGGGAGGCAGCAGUGGGGAAUAUUGCACAAUGGGCGCAAGCCUGAUGCAGCCAUGCCGCGUGUAUGAAGAAGGCCUUCGGGUUGUAAAGUACUUUCAGCGUGGAGGAAGGGAGUAAAGUUAAUACCUUUGCUCAUUGACGUUACCCGCAGAAGAAGCACCGGCUAACUCCGUG
rnacentral:rRNA from 1 species